ACUCCUACGGGAGGCAGCAGUGGGGAAUAUUGCACAAUGGGCGCAAGCCUGAUGCAGCAACGCCGCGUGAGCGAUGAAGGCCUUCGGGUCGUAAAGCUCUGUCCUCAAGGAAGAAUAAAUGACGGUACUUGAGGAGGAAGCCCCGGCUAACUACGUGCCAGCAGCCGCGGUAAUACGUAGGGGCGAAGCGUUAUCCGGAAUCACUGGGCGUAAAGGGUGCGUAGGCGGUUUUUCAAGUCAGAAGUGAAAGGCUAUGGCUCAACCAUAGUAAGCUUUUGAAACUGUUAAACUUGAGUGCAGGAGAGGAAAGUGGAAUUCCUAGUGUAGAGGUGAAAUUCGUAGAUAUUAGGAGGAACACCGAGUGGCGAAGGUCGACUUUCUGGACUGUAACUUGACGCUGAGGCACGAAAGCGUGGGAGCGAACAGGAUUAGAUACCCUGGUAGACUGUCA
rnacentral:rRNA from 1 species